rnacentral:tRNA from 1 species
UAGACUGAAGCCAGUUGAUUAGGGUAUUUAGCUGUUAACUAAAUUUUCAUGGGUUUAGGUCCCACCAAUCUAG